rnacentral:rRNA from 1 species
UACGGGGGGAGCAAGCGUUGUUCGGAUUUACUGGGCGUAAAGGGCGCGUAGGCGGUCGUGACAAGUCACUUGUGAAAUCUCCGGGCUUAACUCGGAAAGGUCAAGUGAUACUGUCGGACUAGAGUACAGAAGGGGCAACUGGAAUUCUCGGUGUAGCGGUGAAAUGCGUAGAUAUCAGGAGGAACACCUAUUGCGAAGGCAGCUCGCUGGGACGUAACUGACGCUGAGACGCGAAAGCGUGGGGAGCAAACAGG